UACGUAGGGUGCAAGCGUUGUCCGGAAUUACUGGGCGUAAAGCGCACGUAGGCGGAUAUUUAAGUCAGGGGUGAAAUCCCGGGGCUCAACCUCGGAACUGCCUUUGAUACUGGGUAUCUUGAGUAUGGAAGAGGUAAGUGGAAUUGCGAGUGUAGAGGUGAAAUUCGUAGAUAUUCGCAGGAACACCAGUGGCGAAGGCGGCUUACUGGUCCAUUACUGACGCUGAGGUGCGAAAGCGUGGGGAGCAAACAGG
rnacentral:rRNA from 1 species